rnacentral:lncRNA from 1 species
GCUUGGAGGGCAGUUUGAUCUUGUCUCAUUGGCGUCUCCGGCCUGAAAAGAAAAUCAUUUGGGUAAACAGCCAAGCUUCCAGGCUUAACGCCCCGCUCCCGCCUCCGCCCCUCUGUCCCUCCCGCCUCCCCCACUCCCCUUCAACCCCACCCGCCACCCACACUCCGCUCCGCUGCCUGGCCUCCAGCGAGCUCCGCGCGUCUGAGAAGGAGCUAAGGGCUCCCUGGUUCAAAGGGCCGCAGCCCCGAGGGAAUGCCCUCUUCGUGUGCCCCGGGGUGCAGAAGCAGACUGCAGGGCGGUGGGACCAGCCUGGGCCACGAAAGAAAAUGAACAGGGUGGGGUGUGAGGCAAAGGCACUGGAAGCUAUGCCUCUGAAAAACAGUCGUCCUGCGGAGAAAGGUCACCUACAGACAGUUGAAGAAAGAAAUGUCAUGCAAACUUGACAUCACGGAAGAAACAUGACAUGUGGAUUAUUAAAGAGCAACUGGCUGACUUUUAACCCUGGGUGCAUUGCUCAGACCCCAUUACCUGUGCAUUUAUACCGGGAAGAAUUACAGGGUAUAUGAGCCACAAAGAGGAGAUGACAAAGCAGAGAGCACCAGGAACAUAAAUUUUCUUAUCUGAAAAUGAGCAGGUUACUGCUGUACCAAUUUCGAACAUCUUUCUGUGUUGAAUGCUUGCAAAAGCAUUAGUCAGUUAGCGUUUUGGUGGACUCGGAGAUGGGGAAAAGAGGAACAGGGCUAAUCCUCAAGGCCCCAGAGCCAAGCUUCCAUCUGAGAAGCAGCCAAGAGCUUCUGAAGCAGUCCUAUGACUCACGGGAUGGAGCCACAGCCUCGUGCUGUGCAAAUCAGCUCUCCAGCUCCAAGCAGAGGCUCAGCCCUGGCAGGAAGGCACUUCCAAGGAAUUCAGAUCUUCUGCCAACAGGAUCACUUGAGUCAUCUUUCAACAUCACAUUCCAACCCCAGUGUUCAUGCUGAGUCCUCCUGUGUUCAUGGGGAGACUGGCCUGGCUUUGGCUGUCUGCAGAUUCACAGUAUCAGAAUGUUACCCAGACAUCCAGAAAAUGUUAAGUACUUCUCACCUACCAACAACUGCUUUUCAGCUUCUCUUAAAAACUAUAGCUGUCUCUUGUGAGGCCAUGCCAGUGCCUGGUAAAUACAGAAGUGGAUGUUCACAGUCAUCUAUAGGAUGGAACACAGGGCCCCCAAUGGAGGAGCUAGAGAAAGUACCCAAGGAGCUGAAGUGGGUCUGCAACCCUAUAGGUGGAACAACAAUAUGAACUAAUCAGUACCCCCAGAGCUCAUGUCUCUAGCUGCAUAUGUAUCGGAAGGUGGCCUAGUCAGCCAUCAUUGGGAAGAGAGGUCCCUAGGUCUUGCAAACUUUAUAUGCCUCAGUAAAGGGGAACUCCAGGGCCAAGAAGUGGGAGUGGGUGGGUAGGGGAGCAGGUAUAGGGAACUUUCG